rnacentral:rRNA from 1 species
CAAUAGCGUAUAUUAAAGUUGUUGCAGUUAAAAGCUCGUAGUUGGAUUUCGGAGUGGGCCAGUUGGUCCGCCGCAAGGUGUGUUACUGACUGGUUUGCUCUUCUUCGCAAAGACUGCGUGUGCUCUUGAGUGAGUGUGCGUAGAAUUUACGACGUUUACUUUGAAAAAUUUAGAGUGUUCAAAGCAGGCUAUUGCUUGAAUACAUGAGCAUGGAAUAAUGGAAUAGGACUUUGGUCCCAUUUUGUUGGUUUCUAGGGCCGAAGUAAUGAUUAAGAGGGACAAUUGGGGCAUCCGUAUUUCGUUGUCAGGAGGUAGUAAAUUGCUUUGGAUUUAACGAAAGACGAACAACUGCGAAAGCACUUGCCAAGAGUGUUUUCAUUAAUCAAGAACGAAAGUUAGAGGAUCGAAGACGAUUUAGAU